rnacentral:rRNA from 1 species
AUUGAACGCUGGCGGCAGGCCUAACACAUGCAAGUCGAGCGGUUGAAGGGAGCUUGCUCCUGGAUUCAGCGGCGGACGGGUGAGUAAUGCCUAGGAAUCUGCCUGGUAGUGGGGGAUAACGUCCGGAAACGGGCGCUAAUACCGCAUACGUCCUGAGGGAGAAAGUGGGGGAUCUUCGGACCUCACGCUAUCAGAUGAGCCUAGGUCGGAUUAGCUAGUUGGUGGGGUAAAGGCCUACCAAGGCGACGAUCCGUAACUGGUCUGAGAGGAUGAUCAGUCACACUGGAACUGAGACACGGUCCAGACUCCUACGGGAGGCAGCAGUGGGGAAUAUUGGACAAUGGGCGAAAGCCUGAUCCAGCCAUGCCGCGUGUGUGAAGAAGGUCUUCGGAUUGUAAAGCACUUUAAGUUGGGAGGAAGGGCAGUAAGUUAAUACCUUGCUGAUUUGACGUUACCAACAGAAUAAGCACCGGCUAACUUCGUG